ACCGCAGACCGCCUUAUCGUCCCCGAUUCAUCGGGGGAGGAAAGUCCGGACACCACAGAGAAGCAUAGCGGCUAACAGCCGUCGGUUGACUCUGAAUUUAUUUCAGAGUCGAUUAGGACAAGUGCAACAGAAAGUAUGUACAGGUAAUGCUGUAGUGAAACCAGGUAAACUCUAUGCGGUGAAAUUUCAAGUAUAUCGGCAUUUAAGGGUUUCUCGCCCGUUGCCGAAGGGUAGAAAGAUGGAGCACGUGAGUAAUUGCGCGCCUAGAUAAAUGAUAAGGCAUCGAUUUAUCGGUGACAGAAUCCGGCUUACAGGUCUGCUUUUUUU
rnacentral:RNase_P_RNA from 1 species